CUGAUUAAUACUUCAGUAAAUAUUCUCAAAAAUUAAGAGGAAGCAUAAUUUGUUCUUGAAAGUUUAAAUAGAGUGAUUGCUAUAUAUUUUGAAAAACUCUACAUUCUUGAUAUCACAAAAUUUCUGUUCUAUUCACCUUAUCAUUAAAAUCUGAAAUUCAAUAAAAAAAAGUUUGAAAAAAAUGCAUCUUUUGAGGGGAAGCUUUAAAUACUCAAACUCGUUAUUGAAAAUUAUCUUCAAACUCUAAACUCUCAAAUGGAAUGAUUAAUUAAGGGGGAGAAAGAAAAUUUCAGAGGAAGAGAUCAUAUAGAACUUAAUCGUGUAAAUUCACAACUAAAGAUGAGAGAAAGAAUACUAAAUGUAAAGUGGUAUUAAACUUUGUACUUCAUUGAAUAUCUUUUGAAAGUUGGAUUUCCAUCUAUAUUCAUCGGUAAAUCAUUUGUUUCUGAAAAUUAAUUGAAAAGGAUUCCAUCUGUCUUAGUAUCGAAAAUUUAUCCUGGAAUCUACUUAUAAGUUCUUAUUGGGUUGCACUUUAGUGUUUCAAUCCUGAACCAAUUCAUUUUAAUUGAUUUUGAUGCUAUGAUCUUUAAAGGAGUAAAUAAAGUCUUUAAAAGAGCUCUAAAAGAACUUUCAAAGCCUUGAAUUUUAUGUAUCCUACAUUGCAUAAAUUCAUGUUUUGAUAUCUAUGCCCCAAUACUUUUAUAUCAUGAAAGAACUUUGAAGUCAUUAAGAAUUAAGGAUUCAACAUAAUCUUAUGUUUUUCGAGUAUAUAAGUUUUGAUCUUUAUCUGCUCUUAUACUAUACCCUGAAAAUUAAUUAGAUUGCUCUCAUCUUGCUAUAUACUUAAUAUAUUAAAAAAAAAGAGGUGUUGAAUUUUCAUUUGUGCCUUCUUUGAAUAUUAUUCUUGAUACUCCUUGAAAUAACUUGAAAAAGAUUACAUCUACACUUGAUUUGAAAACUAUCUUUGGAAUCUACAUUUAGAGAUCUCUUCUGGCUCACAUCCUAAAUGUCUCAUUUUUAAAGCCAAACUUUUCAUCCUUGAUUUUGAUGUGAUC
rnacentral:lncRNA from 1 species